AUUGAACGCUGGCGGCAUGCUUUACACAUGCAAGUCGAACGGUAACAGGGACUUCGGUCUGCUGACGAGUGGCGAACGGGUGAGUAACAUAUCGGAACGUGCCCAGUAAUGGGGGAUAGCUCGGCGAAAGCCGGAUUAAUACCGCAUACGCCCUGAGGGGGAAAGUGGGGGAUCUUCGGACCUCACGUUAUUGGAGCGGCCGAUAUCGGAUUAGCUGGUUGGUGGGGUAAAGGCCUACCAAGGCGACGAUCCGUAGCUGGUCUGAGAGGAUGAUCAGCCACACUGGGACUGAGACACGGCCCAGACUCCUACGGGAGGCAGCAGUGGGGAAUUUUGGACAAUGGGCGAAAGCCUGAUCCAGCCAUGCCGCGUGAGUGAAGAA
rnacentral:rRNA from 1 species